UACGGAGGAUCCAAGCGUUAUCCGGAAUCAUUGGGUUUAAAGGGUCCGUAGGCGGUUUAAUAAGUCAGUGGUGAAAUCCCAUCGCUCAACGGUGGAACGGCCAUUGAUACUGUUAGACUUGAAUUAUUAGGAAGUAACUAGAAUAUGUAGUGUAGCGGUGAAAUGCUUAGAUAUUACAUGGAAUACCAAUUGCGAAGGCAGGUUACUACUAAUGGAAUUGACGCUGAGGCACGAAAGCGUGGGGAUCAAACAGGA
rnacentral:rRNA from 1 species